AUUGAACGCUGGCGGCAUGCCUUACACAUGCAAGUCGAACGGCAGCACGGGAGCAAUCCUGGUGGCGAGUGGCGAACGGGUGAGUAAUAUAUCGGAACGUGCCCGGUCGUGGGGAUAACGUAGCGAAAGCUACGCUAAUACCGCAUACGAUCUACGGAUGAAAGCGGGGGGAUCGCAAGACCUCGCGCGAUUGGAGCGGCCGAUAUCAGAUUAGGUAGUUGGUGAGGUAAAGGCUCACCAAGCCAACGAUCUGUAGCUGGUCUGAGAGGACGACCAGCCACACUGGAACUGAGACACGGUCCAGACUCCUACGGGAGGCAGCAGUGGGGAAUUUUGGACAAUGGACGCAAGUCUGAUCCAGCCAUUCCGCGUGCAGGAUGAA
rnacentral:rRNA from 1 species